AGUGAACGCUGGCGGUAGGCCUAACACAUGCAAGUCGAACGGCAGCACAGUAAGAGCUUGCUCUUACGGGUGGCGAGUGGCGGACGGGUGAGGAAUACAUCGGAAUCUACUUUUUCGUGGGGGAUAACGUAGGGAAACUUACGCUAAUACCGCAUACGACCUACGGGUGAAAGCAGGGGAUCUUCGGACCUUGCGCGAUUGAAUGAGCCGAUGUCGGAUUAGCUAGUUGGCGGGGUAAAGGCCCACCAAGACGACGAUCCGUAGCUGGUCUGAGAGGAUGAUCAGCCACACUGGAACUGAGACACGGUCCAGACUCCUACGGGAGGAAGCAGUGGGGAAUAUUGGACAAUGGGCGCAAGCCUGAUCCAGCCAUACCGCGUGGGUGAAGAAGGCCUUCGGGUUGUAAAGCCCUUUUGUUGGGAAAGAAAAGCAGCAGGUUAAUCCCCCGCUGUUCUGACGGUACCCAAAGAAUAAGCACCGGCUAACUUCGUG
rnacentral:rRNA from 1 species